GACGAACGCUGGCGGCGUGCCUAAUACAUGCAAGUAGAACGCUGAAGAGAGGAGCUUGCUCUUCUUGGAUGAGUUGCGAACGGGUGAGUAACGCGUAGGUAACCUGCCUGGUAGCGGGGGAUAACUAUUGGAAACGAUAGCUAAUACCGCAUAACAACAGUUGUUGCAUGACAGCUGUUUAAAAGAUGCAAUUGCAUCACUACCAGAUGGACCUGCGUUGUAUUAGCUAGUUGGUGAGGUAACGGCUCACCAAGGCGACGAUACAUAGCCGACCUGAGAGGGUGAUCGGCCACACUGGGACUGAGACACGGCCCAGACGCCUACGGGAGGCAGCAGUAGGGAAUCUUCGGCAAUGGGGGGAACCCUGACCGAGCAACGCCGCGGGAGGGAAGAAGGGUUUCGGAUCGUAAAGCUCUGUUGUAAGAGAAGAACGGGUGUGAGAGUGGAAAGUUCACACUGUGACGGUAUCUUACCAGAAAGGGACGGCUAACUACGUG
rnacentral:rRNA from 1 species